rnacentral:lncRNA from 1 species
UGGAGUCUGAUGACCAAGGGCAGGAAGCAUCCAGCACGGGACAAAGAAGAAAGCCAGAAGACUCAGCAAGCCAGCUCAUCUCACUUUCUUCUGCCUACUUUGUUGUAGCUGAGCUGGCAGCCAGUUGGAUGGUGCACACUCACAUUGAGGAUUGGGAGGCUGCUGUGUAUGGAUAAGAUACCUGCUACAGCCAGCUUGACACCAUGAGAAGGACAAGAGAAUUGCAGAGACACAUAUCCAGGAUUCUGAUCCAGUUGAGGCACUGAAAUAAUCUAGAACCACCUUCAAAUUUCUUAUAAAGAGAGCUAUGCUAUUAGGAUUUAAUUAAAUGGAUGCCAACAGCAAGUAAACCAUCUCCAAAGAUGCCAUGAAGCUCUCCUAAUUGCAGGAAAAUAUCAGAGGCACUUGAUUUGAGUCUUUCAAGUACGGAAAUAACAAAUUCAGUCUCAACAGACCUAUAGUGAAUGAGAAUGAUUGUCACAUAAUGUGUAGAGAAAAUGGAAGAAUCAAAGGCAAGGGAAACCUGUACAGUGGAGACACAAAGGGUCACUGGCAGAUUUCAAAUGAUCCAAGACAUCCUCAAGGAAGAUUUACCACAAGUUACUUUAUCAUAGCUUUGAGUGGCAUUUUAAUAUCAUAUUUUAAAAGAAAGAAAACAAUAGAAAUGUAUUAAAAUAUCUUCUCAAGAAUCCUUCCAAACCACAAGGAAAAUCACCAGGCCAAAAGUGAGGUUUGAAGUCUGGACAUGUACUGGUUUUCUCUAGCAAUCGACUCUCAAUUUUUGACUUUUUCAUAUCUGUUGGGUCUAUAAUGAUGGUCACCCCAACCACAGCUUCAUUUCUGAUAUUGGACAUUGAGAUCUGCUGGUUGGAGAUCUUAGUGCCCAAGGAAGAAUGCUUGCAAAAGGAGAUGGAACAGUGUUUCUGUUGCAUUGGCCACUGAGAAUAUCUGGUUAUUUUGAAUUUGUCACAGUCUGCAGCUAAAAGGCGAACAGGAAAAGAAGAGAGAGCGGUAAUUUGAAUGAUAGCAGAUUUCACAUCAGGAACCAAUGAAGCUAGAUAAGAAUGCAACAUCUUUGAUGUCUAAAAGAAACAAAAAGCCAACCUUGAAUUCUUUAUUUAGUGAAGUUACCCUUCAGAAAUGACGGCAAAAUAAAGAUGUUUUCCAAUAAAAGACAACUAUGAGAAUUCUUCACCAGCAGUCCUAUUGUAUCAGAACAGCCAAAAGAAGUUUGUCAGCCUACAGGGAAUUAUAUCAAAGGGAAGACUUGACCUUGAAAAUGAAUGAGGAAUAUAAGAAAUUGAUAUUAUCUGGGAAGCGGCACAUGAGACUAGCAGGAGUAAAUGUUAUAUACACUGGGCCUCGCAAAAAUUCUGCAAUCACUGGGAAUCAGUAACCUGGUAGAAUGAGAAAACAACGUAAUACUGAAAAAUCAAAACACCAUCCUACAGAACUUUGAUGCAUUCAGAACAAAGAUCACGAAUCAAGCUGAAAAAGUAAAGCAUUCUGUGAGUUGUGGAAUGGAAAUUGCCUCAACCAUCUCACCACUUGAUGACACUUGUAAUUUCAGUGACCCAAUUCAAGCAAUCAAACAUCAAGUAAUACUCUCAAUAAAGAUGUGUAAUUAAAACAGAAGAGGAAACAGACUAACAGAAGUGAUGAAGAAUGGCAGUUCUAAGGAUGGCAGGAAUUCACUGAAUGUCUAUCUAUCAUGUAUGCUGUUGGAGGCACCUGUCUUUCAGUUCAGAGGUUAUGGAUGUAUCUAUCAUCAGUAUUUCGGGAAGUCAGGGACCCGGAACAGAGGGACUUAAUGAAGCUGUGGCAGAAGAAAAAAUUAUGAAGAUUUCAUGGACAUUUAUUAGUUCCCCAAAUUAAUACUUUUAUAAUUUCUUACA